CCUACGGGGGGCAGCAGUGAGGAAUAUUGGUCAAUGGACGAGAGUCUGAACCAGCCAAGUCGCGUGAAGGAUGACUGCCCUAUGGGUUGUAAACUUCUUUUAUAAAGGAAUAAAACGAGGCACGUGUGCCUUUUUGCAUGUACUUUAUGAAUAAGGAUCGGCUAACUCCGUGCCAGCAGCCGCGGUAAUACGGAGGAUCCGAGCGUUAUCCGGAUUUAUUGGGUUUAAAGGGAGCGUAGAUGGGUUGUUAAGUCAGUUGUGAAAGUUUGCGGCUCAACCGUAAAAUUGCAAUUGAUACUGGCAGUCUUGAGUACAGUUGAGGUAGGCGGAAUUCGUGGUGUAGCGGUGAAAUGCUUAGAGAUCACGAAGAACCCCGAUUGCGAAGGCAGCUUACUAAACUGUGACUGACAUUGAUGCUCGAAAGUGUGGGUAGCAAACAGGAUUAGAUACCCGUGUAGUC
rnacentral:rRNA from 1 species